CAGCAGAAGCCGGGCUCUGCCCCUGCUUGCCAGGAUUGCUGGGGUCUGUAGGGCUGGGCGCCGGGGGCCAGCCGUGGAGACCGGCUCCCCACCGCCACCCGGGGACUGAGCUGGAGCUUGAACUCCAUUCCGGCGUCCCCGAGUUCUGGAUCCAGAGCCCGUGUCUCUGUCCUCCGAGGUACUCAGUGUUGCAGAAACUCUUCCCUCCCAUCCCGCACAUGAAAGACCCCAUCACUGACAACCUUCAGAACAGCAAGUUGGUGGCCUGGGAGGGCAGCAGAGCAAGCCGGGAAGACUGCCCGGUGGCAGAG
rnacentral:lncRNA from 1 species